CGCACGGAUUCUUGGGGAGAGGAAUUUGUACAGUGAAAUGAAGACAGUCCAACAGAUACAAGACCUCAACUGUGUUGUUGAAAAUGGGUUACGAACAAUAGACCUUUUUCACGACAACCGGAAGUAGCGCAUACUAGCGCCCAGUCACUUCCUGUCUUCGCGGGUCUAAGGGAAAAUAGCACCUGUUUUUUCAACAAAGUCGCUUAAUUUGCCCACUUUUCGUUCGCUGAUGCGGAGGUAAUCGCUGUCACAGUCAGGUGGGCAGGCUGUGAGAAUGGGCUCUAAUUAUAUUCAUGUUUUGUACCUGGAAACAACGUAAAAGGCGCUGGUUUUGGACUGACUAAAGGGACAUAGCUAGCCUGAACUGCGUCAGUGAGAUGGGCCGAUAUAAUUGCUCAGCACACCCACAGAUGUCCUCAAGUAAUGGCUCACUCAUUGUUCUACUGGUCAAUCAGCAAAGGAAAUCGAUGCAUUUGGGGUCACUUUGAAGAGCAGAAGUGGAGAUCAACACAAUGUUAAACACUAAAUCACUUUUAAGAUGGAGUUGCAGAGCAUGAAGGCGAGGCCACAGCAGAAGGACGAGCGAUGAAGAGCUGGGAGAGAUGCAAAGACCAUGGGGAAGACCUACACCAGCAAGUGGUGAAGGCUGUGGACAAGACCGUGUUGAAGAAAUGGAAGUCGUACUUUUAAAUACAGGAUGACAUUUGUGCAAAAAAGAAAAGCUUUAAUAAGACAUUUGUAAAGAGUCUCAUUCAUCUAAAUAUUUCAAAUGACGUUCUGGAUGUAAUUCAAUGUUAAACGUAUACUAGUAUUACAUAUUUAAGUAGAAAGAUUCACAGAGAAAUUGAACACCUCUAAAACUGUGAUUUUUCAUUCUUGACAAACCCGGUGUUGUAGCAGCAGCGUUUGAGCCACGGUCCUUCCAUUUAGCUGGCAGAGUUUUUGGUACAAGUCUUCUCAUAGUUGGCUUCAAUGGAAAUGCUGUUGUUUUUUUAGUACAGAGGCUUCUUGUGAGCAGUUGAAGAUUUGUACUCAUUUAUAGUCAAUGUUUGGAUUAAAAUUAAACCCAGAUUAAAAACAAGUCUACUGCAGUCUGAUAGUCUUCAUGUUUCAGACACACGACUUUGGC
rnacentral:lncRNA from 1 species